rnacentral:rRNA from 1 species
AGAGUUUGAUCCUGGCUCAGAUUGAACGCUGGCGGCAUGCCUUACACAUGCAAGUCGAACGGCAGCACGGGAGCUUGCUCCUGGUGGCGAGUGGCGAACGGGUGAGUAAAGCAUCGGAACGUACCUUGUCGAGGGGGAUAACGCAGCGAAAGUUGUGCUAAUACCGCAUACGUCCUGAGGGAGAAAGCGGGGGACCGCAAGGCCUCGCGCGAUGAGAGCGGCCGAUGUCAGAUUAGCUAGUUGGUGAGGUAAAGGCUCACCAAGGCGACGAUCUGUAGCGGGUCUGAGAGGAUGAUCCGCCACACUGGGACUGAGACACGGCCCAGACUCCUACGGGAGGCAGCAGUGGGGAAUUUUGGACAAUGGGGGAAACCCUGAUCCAGCCAUGCCGCGUGAGUGAAGAAGGCCUUCGGGUUGUAAAGCUCUUUCGGCCGGGAAAAAAUUGCACGGAUGAACAGUCUGUGUAGAUGAUGGUACCGGACUAAGAAGCACCGGCUAACUACGUGCCAGCAGCCGCGGUAAUACGUAGGGUGCGAGCGUUAAUCGGAAUUACUGGGCGUAAAGCGUGCGCAGGC